UAUUUGGUGGUCCAGUGGCUAAGACUCCGUGCUCCUAAAGUAGGGGGCCCAGCUUCGAUCCCUGAUCGAAGAA